AGUUGCGACAGGUGCGCUGGGCAGACAGAGCGCAGGACCGUGGCCGUGCAGCGCCGAGCCCCGACGGCUUUCUAGUCAGCCCACAGGUGUCUCAGAGUCUGUAGACAAGAUGGAAUCGACUCCAUUUAAUAGACGCCAGUGGACUUCCCUGUCAUUGAGAGUAACAGCCAAAGAGCUUUCUCUUGUCAACAAGAACAAGUCAUCCGCAAUUGUGGAAAUAUUCUCCAAGUACCAGAAGGCUGCUGAAGAAGCCAACAUGGAAAGGAAGAAAAAUAACCCUGAAAGUCUGCCCCAGCACUUUAGAAGAGGGACCCUGUCUGUGUUAAAGAAGAAGUGGGAGAACCCGGUGGCUGGGGCAGAAUUCCACACAGACUCACUGCCAAACAGCAGCAGUGAGGGUGGGCACACAGCGGACUACCCUCCUGCUGAAGUGACGGACAAGCCUGCUCCUGGAGUCAGAGCUGACCGGGAAGAGCACACCCAGCCCAAACCUAGAUUUGGAUCUCGUCCGGAAGCAGUUAUCCAGAGCCGGUAUCCUCGCUCAGAGAACAGCCACGAUUUUAAAGCCCAGGCCACGGAGAGCCAAAAAAUGGAAAACUGUCUGGGAGAUUCCAGGCAUGAAGCAGAGAAGCCAGAGACGAGCGAAAACACAGAAACUUCAGGCAAAAUAGAGAAAUACAACGUUCCACUGAAUAGACUGAAGAUGAUGUUUGAGAAAGGUGAACACAACCAAACCAAGAGUCUCUGGACCCAAAGCCGAAAUGCGGGUGGAAGGAGGCUCUCUGAAAACAACUGUUCCCUGGAUGACUGGGAAAUAGGUGCGGGUCAUUUGUCUUCCUCUGCAUUCAACUCGGAGAAAAACGAGAGUAAGAGGAAUCUGGAGCUGCCACGCCUCUCAGAAACCUCCAUAAAGGACCGCAUGGCCAAGUACCAGGCUGCAGUGUCCAAGCAGAGCAGCCCAGCCAGCUACACAAAUGAGCUGAAAACCAGUGAAAGCAAAACUCAUAAAUGGGAACAGAAGGAGAAUGUGCCCCCAGGUCCCGAGGCCUGCAGCGUCCAUCAGGAAGGAAGCAAGGUUUCUACAACUGAGAAUAGUCUAGUGGCCCUCUCUGUCCCUGCUGAAGAUGACACCUGUAACUCCCAGGUGAAGAGCGAGGCCCAGCAGCCUAUGCACCCUAAGCCGCUGAGUCCUGACGCCAGGACCUCCAGUCUUCCGGAAAGUUCUCCUUCCAAAACAGCGAAGCCUCUGCGUCCUGCUCCUGGCACCUAAUCUCUGUUCCUGCCUUCCACUUUCCUCCUAAUAAGUUUCAGGCGCCGGCAAAGGAGAGCUGCGUGGAGUGUCAGAAGACGGUGUACCCCAUGGAACGGCUCCUGGCCAACCAGCAGGUGUUUCACAUCAGCUGUUUCCGAUGCUCCUACUGCAACAACAAGCUCAGUCUAGGAACAUAUGCAUCCUUACAUGGACGAAUCUACUGUAAGCCUCACUUCAAUCAACUCUUCAAGUCCAAAGGCAACUAUGACGAGGGCUUUGGGCACAAGCAGCAUAAGGAUCUGUGGGCAAGCAAGAGCGACAAUGAGGAGACUUUGGGGAGACCAGCCCAGCCGCCUAAUGCAGGGGAGAGCCCCCAUAGCCCGGGUGUAGAAGAUGCCCCCAUCGCCAAGGUCGGCGUGCUGGCGGCAAGUAUGGAAGCCAAGGCCUCUUCUCAGAGGGAGAGGGAGGAUAAGCCUGCGGAGACCAAGAAGCUGAGGAUCGCCUGGCCUCCGCCAGCCGAGCUGGGCGGUUCCGGAAGUGCCCUGGAGGAAGGGAUCAAAGUAUCGAAGCCCAAGUGGCCUCCGGAGGAUGACGUCUGCAAGACGGAGGCCCCGGAGGAUGUAGAUCUGGACCUGAAGAAGCUGCGGCGGUCUUCGUCCCUGAAGGAGAGGAGCCGCCCGUUUACGGUAGCAGCUUCCUUUCGAACCUCUUCCAUCAAGAGCCCCAAGGCCUCUUCGCCAUCUCUCAGGAAAGGUUGGAGCGAGUCCGAGCAGAGUGAGGAGUUUGGAGGAGGGAUAGCGACGAUGGAAAGGAAACAAACGGAAAAUGCCAGACCCUCUGGGGAGAAAGAGAAUGUGGGAAAAUCACGCUGGCAGGGCGAGGAAGUGCCGAGGAGCAAGGACCGUAGUUCUUUUGAGCUGGAGAGUGAGAAUUUUAUGGAAAAUGGAGCAAACAUAGCUGAAGAUGACAACCAUGUCCACGCACAGCAGUCCCCGUUAGAACCCGAGGCUCCGGGUUGGUCUGGCUUUGUAGACACCACGGCUGCUAAAGAAUUCACUACCCAGAAUCAAAAAUCCCAAGAUGUCGGGUUCUGGGAGGGAGAAGUGGUCCGAGAGCUGUCUGUGGAGGAACAGAUAAAGAGAAACCGGUACUAUGAUGAGGACGAGGAUGAAGAAUGACCGGCCGCCAUGGUUCUGGCCUUAGAUUUUGGUUAGCAACUCACUGCCCUUUAUCAAGUGGUGCGCAGAAACAGGCAGCUUGGCGCCAAGGGUCAUUCAUGUGGGAGCAACUUUGGAAAUGAAUUCCCGCUAGCAAAACAGGGCAAAAACAAGCAAAAACAAAACAGACAAACAAACUCACCCAAAACCAAUUCUAAGCGCAUUGUCAAAACACCAGUGAUCUUUUAAGCCUGGUGUGGUGGUAAACACCUUUAAUCCCAGCACUCCACUCGGGAGGCAGAGGCAGAGGCAGGUGGGUCUCUCUGAGUUCCAGGACAGCCAGGGCUACAAAGAGAAACCUUGCCUCAAAACAAACAAACAAACAAAUCCCUCCAUUUUUUCAGGGAAGGGCUAAGUAGGGAUUUCUCUCACUGAUGCUGCCUGCCAUCCACUGCAUUCCCCAAAUCAAGAUUGGUGUGGUUAGAUAUUUAGAGGCUUGUUUUCACACUACAGAGACCAUUGUGGAAUUAGAGACACACACAACACAUUUAGGAGCCCACCUCAUGACCAGAGGCACUUUAGUAUAAAGGGCACAGUGUAGCUAUUUUACCAAUUUCAUUUUUUAGUACUCAAUUGCUGAAAAUCAAAUAUUUAGUCUUUCAAGCUUUUGAAAUGCAUUCUCUUCCUCUGGUAGAUAGGGAAAGCUUACUGUCUUUCAUCCUACAUCCUGUAUUUUUAAUCACUGAGGCACAAAACAGCAACCUUUGGCCAAGUGAAAGGCGCUGGUUACUGAAGCCGGAGCAGCAGUGUUCAAUCCCCAAAACCUACGUAAAGGUGAGAGAGCAGACUGCACAGAGCUGUCCACACGUGCCCAUCAUCAACAAUAAGAAACAAGUUAAAAAAAAAAAUACAACCAACCUCACAAACACCUGCGAGACAGAGAACCAACCUAUAUACUUUGGUGUUUGGAGAGACGGACAUUGUACCCAGAUAAUCAGUGGCGAAUGCCAGUGUGUCUCCCUGCACUCUGGGUGUUUGCCAUCUCUUCUGGUGGUUUCUCGCACUUUGCGGAAAGCUGCAGUGUUGCUGUAAGACCUUUUGGAUCACGCUUCACCAUGCUCCAAGUAAAACAACCUGAGAUCAGAGCUGGGAAGCCUCAGGUCGAGGCGAAUCUUGGCUCUGAAAUGUAUUGAUUUUUAGGCCAGAUAAUUCUUCCAGGGUUGCAUUAAAUCACUUUUAGGUCUGUCUUCUUAGGCCGUGUCCUACUUUGAUUCAUUGUAGUGAUAAAACACUGGGCAGGAGCAACUCAGAGGGGAAGGGUUUGUCUCCACUCACAGGCCACGGGUCACACACAGGCCACGCGCGCACGCAGCAUGGUCAAGGGAAGCGAGGCCAGAACCCAGAGGCAAGAGCUGAUGCAGACCGUGUGGGAACACUGCUUGCUGACUUCAUCUCUGUGGCUUACUCAACUGGUUUUCUUACACCACCCAGGGCCACCUGGCCAGGGGUGACACUGCUCACAACAAAAACAGACAAGGCCCACAGGUGCAUCGGUUAGAGGCGGUUCAUCAGCUGAGUCCCACAUCCAGGUGACUCUGUGUGAGGCUGGUAAACCCAGAGGAGGAUAGAUGGUUUUCUCUGGUAUUAAGGCUUUAGAAUAUUAUAAACGAGUGCAGUUCUUGUAUGUAACUGAUAUUCCAAAUGAUGUGUAUGGCGGGGUGGGCUUAAGGUAGUGGCCUCUUUGCAUUUGUAGAGAUUUAGCUCAGUUUUAGAGAUGUAAAAUAAUCUGUUUCCUUAUGGCCUUGUUUAGCCUAAAACAUUUUUAUUCAAUAAAGCUUUUAAUUUACA